GACGAACGCUGGCGGCGUGCUUAACACAUGCAAGUCGAACGGACCCCAGCAAUGGGGUUAGUGGCGGACGGGUGAGUAACACGUGAGCAACCUGCCCUAUGCAACGGGAUAACACUGAGAAAUUAGUGCUAAUACGGUAUAAGACCACGCGAAGGCAUCUUCGAGGGGUAAAAGCGAAUAAGCGGCAUAGGAGGGGCUCGCGGCCCAUUAGAUAGUUGGUGAGGUAACGGCCCACCAAGUCGACGAUGGGUAGCCGACCUGAGAGGGUGAUCGGCCACAUUGGAACUGAGAUACGGUCCAA
rnacentral:rRNA from 1 species